UCCGGAGGGUGCAAUCGUUAUCCGGAAUCACUGGGUUUAAAGGGUGCGUAGGCGGCUUAGUAAGUCAGGAGUGAAAGCCUGCGGCUUAACCGUAGAAAUGCUUUUGAUACUGCUGAGCUUGAAUUAGGUUGAGGUUGGCGGAAUGUGACAUGUAGCGGUGAAAUGCAUAGAUAUGUCAUAGAACACCAAUUGCGAAGGCAGCUGACUAGACCUGAAUUGACGCUGAGGCACGAAAGCGUGGGGAGCGAACAGG
rnacentral:rRNA from 1 species